rnacentral:lncRNA from 1 species
GAAACACCCAAGAAUGAUCAAUAAAUACUAAAAACAAACAACAACAAAAAAAACAACUAUGCUGAGUAAAAGGAGCCAGACCCAAAAGACCAUCUAUGAUUCUACUUAUAUGAAAUCUUUAGAAAUGCAAAAGUAUAGCCAGCAUGGUGGUUCAUACCUGUAAUCCCAGCACCUUGGGAGGCCAAGGCGGGCGGAUUACUUGAGAUCAGGAGUUUGAGACCAGCCUGGCCAACACGGCAGAACCCAGUCUCUACUAAAAAUACAGCCAGGUGUGGUAGUGCACGCCUAUAAUCCCAGUUACUCUGGUGGCUAAGGCACAAGAAUCACUUGAACCCGGGAGGUGGAGGUUGCAGUGAGCCAAGAUGAUGCCACUGAACUCCAGCCUGGGUGGCAAAGGAAGACUGUCGAAAAAAAAAAAAAAGAAAAAGAAAAAGAAAAAGAAAAGAAGGAAGGGAGGGAGGGAGGGAAAGAAGAAAGAAGGAAGGAAGGAAAGAAGGAAGGAAGGAAAAGAAAAGAAAAGAAGAGAAAGGAAGGAAGGAAGAAAAGGCAAAACUAUAGAAUCAGAGAACAGAUUAGUGGCUGCUGGGGCCUGGGGUAGGAGAGGAGACUGACUAUAAACAGGCAGGAGGGAACUUUGUCAGUCGACAGUCAUGUUCUGUAGCUAGAUUGGGAUGAAGUUUGCUGUUAAAAAUGCACUAAAACUCACCAAACUACACUUAAGAUGGGUAGAUUUUGUGGUAUAUAAGUUAUACUUCAAAAAACUAUAAAUAAGAAAGUUAACUGGAACAUCCUGUGCUUUCCAAAUCAAGACACCUUUCAGAGGAUACAUUCAUAGCCUUUGCCCCGGGUAAGUGCUUUCAAAUAUAAUACUCUAGUCCCAGUAUAAAUUCAAUAUACCUGUUUCUAAACACAGAGUAUUAAGCGAUACUGAGAGAAAUGGCAGAUAUAUUAGCAUAUGAAUCUAAAUGUAUUAUUGAAAGAGUGGUUUUAAGAGAAGUGUAGACAGCAGCCUACUCUAAUGAAAAUAAAUGUCAAUGAAAAUAAGCUACAUUUGUCAUUUUCAUGAAAAAAUUAUUUCUAUCAUCAUCUGCAAAUCAAUUUCCUUAAUAAGGGUUCGUGACAAUUUUCAGGAUUUCUUGAAAUGAUUUUUAUGAUAUAUUAAGACUCAUUUCUACAUAACCUUGAUUUCAAAUCAAAAUUGCUUUUAACUUCACAUUCACAGGUAUGUGAGCUAUUAAACCUAAGUCAGGCAGAGAGGAUCAGUUUCAUCAAGCGUCUCAGAUGAGAGCGUUCACACCCUUCUCUUCUUCACGUGCCACACUGCCUCCUCUUUGUCUCCACUUCACCGGGCAUGCUGAGGAUUAUGAACACUUUUCAAAGUCAACGCUACUGACUUCUAUCUUCCUAAGCAAAAAUAAGCCACCAAAAGUAGAGAUUUAUAAAAGAAAGCAAGCUCAGACUUAGUUUCUGAGAAGUCCAUUUCCUCACACAGAGGAGUCUGGGUCUCUGCCUGUUGGAGGAGGUGGCUGUCUGUGUGCUCUGAUGGAAAUUCUGCCAGUUUCCUUCAGCAGUUAACACCCUCAGCUUCAGGGCCGAAACAUGCUCCAGGUUGUCCUUUGGCUGAAAGCCCGCUAAAAUGGCAAUAAUUCCCUCUGACCACAACAGCCUUGCGUGUGGUGCUUUCUCUUAAUUAUUCCUCCUGCCCCUGGUCCUUCAGCUCCACAUUAUUCCCACUCUCCAAAAAUUCUAUUCUUCACUUCCUUCUCUUUCCAGCUUAGGUCCCAUGGGCCACCCUUCAUUUUUCUGACCAGCCCUCUCAACUCCUUUUCCUCCUUCUUUUUACACCAUACAUUCUUGUCUAGGGAAAGACCCCAAUUCAGAACAGUUUUGCCUAUAAGGACAUGAAGCCCAAAUUUCCCAUGUGACAGACCCACGUGGGGGAAAAUGAUAAAGUAAAAAGAGGAUAGGCUGUUGAGUCAGAGCCUAGCUUAAAUCCUGGUGCUGUCACCUACAAGCUGUGUUGCAUUGGUUAUGUUCAACAAGCUCUGUGUGCCUUAGUUUCCUCACCUGUAAAACGGGGCUAAUUUACCUACCUCCGGGGCUGUUGAGAUAAAUAUGGAAUGAGCAUAGCGAUGUGGCAGGAGCUUAGUGGACCCUUAGUAAAUGGUGACAAAAGCCUAACAAACAAGCACUCUGAUGUCCAUGUUCACUGUUGUUCUCUCGACCCAGUCUGCUUUCUCCACUUUCUACUUGGUUCCUAUCCUCCUUGUGGCCUGGAUAACACCUACUUAUUCCUGGAGACUCCACUAAAAUGUCAACCAUUAGAACUGCACUGUCAAAAACAGCAGCCAUUAGUCAAAUGUGGCUACUUACAUUCAAAUUAAGAUUAAUGAAUAUUAAAAAUCCAGUUCCUCAGUCACACUGUCCACAAUUUGAGUGCCCAACAGCCACAUGGGGCUGGCUAGUGGCUACUGUGUUGGGACAACACAGCGUGGAACAUUUUCAUCAUCACAGAAAAUUCUAUUGGACAGAGUUUCUCUAGAGGAAAAUGUCUUUGUUAACCCUCUCCUAAAGAACUCGUGUACUUUUAUAAGCAUACUCAUCACUUCCUAAAAUGAGUGUUGAUUCUUUUACUCCAUAAAUUGUGAACUUCUUGAAGUACCACUUAAAUCCAUACAAAUUUGCUAAAUGAACUGUUGAAUAAUUGGUUAACAAGCCUUUUUAAAAAUCAAAGUCAAGUAACAACAGGUGCUGGUGAGGCUGUGGAGAAACAGGAACGCUCUGACACUAUUGAUGGGAAUGUAAAUUAGUUCAACCAUUGUGCAAGACAGUGUGGUGGUUCCUCAAAGACCUAGAACCAGAAAUACCAUUUGACCCAGCAAUCCCAUUAUUGGGUAUAUACCUGAAGAAAUAGAAAUCAUUCUAUUAUAAAGAUACAUGCAUGUGUAUGUUUGUUGCAGCACUAUUCACAAUAGCAAGGAGAUGGAAUCAACCCAAAUGUCCAUCAGUGAUAGAUCGGAUAAAGAAAAUGUGGUACAUAUAGACAAUGGAAUACUAUGCAGCCAUAAAAAGGAAUGAGAUAAUGUCCUUUGCAGGGACAUGGAUGGAGCUGGAAGCCAUUAUCCUCAGUAAACUACUGCAGGAACAGAAAACCAAACACCACAUGUUCUCACUUAUAAGUGGGAGCUGAACAAUGAGAACACAUGGACACAGGGAGAGGAACAACACACACUGGGGCCUGUCGGCGGGUGGAGGGAGAGAGAGCAUCAGGAUGAAUAGCUAUUGCAUGCAGGGCUUAAUACCAAGGUGUUGGGUUGAUAAGUGCAGCAAACCACCAUGGCACACACUUACCUAUGUAACAAACCUGCACAUCCUUCACAUGUACCGCAGAACUUAAAAUAAAAUUUGAAUUUUUAAAAAAGCUUUUUGAAAAAUAAACCUCUUAAUUGUCUGGAGGCUCAGACAAUUUCCAUGAGGAAGAGUGCCUGAUAUCUUUGCUUUCAGAACCUGGUCCUGAGAGAUUUUGUCUAGUUUUGCUUCCUAUUCCGUUUCUCAAACCAUUUCUAAUCCUUAACCCAUUCAGGCAAGCGGAGCCCUCCACCACGUGGCCAGAAUUUCCUGACGUCCAAGAAAGGGCAUUAAACAAUAUGGCUUCUGAGAAAACAUCUAAUAUCAGAGAUGAAAAAACUGAGGCUUGAAGAGUAGCAGUGUCUUGUCAAGGCCCAUAUAGAAAGUAAGAGGCCAAGCCACUGAAAGAAGGUUGUCUGCUUAGAAGGCACUCUUUCCAUUAUACCAGGUGACGAGAAAACACACCCAGAUAAAGACUAUAUGGCGAAUGAACUUAGAAGCGCUAGCAAUUCUGGCUCCUUUCACCAGAACAAGCUGCAAUCUGCAAUAAACAGGAAGAGGCUUCAUAUGUGAGGUAAAAGCCUCUCUUACUCCCUCUCUGCCAAGGACGAUUGCCAAUGCAGUUUUGAUAAGUAAAUAAAGAAUUACUGGAUGGCCAAGAACUACCACCCUAAGCAUAUCCAGCAGUCAGCCCAUGCUAUUCAAUUGUGCUACAACUACCUUUAAAAAGAAUGACUGAACUCACAGAAUGGUAAGAGUUGGAAUGGAGACCUCCCACUGGACAGCAAUGAAAGAUGAAACCCUAAAUAUAUCUGAAGUGAAUUUUUUCAUUGAACUGUCUCAAAAAUCAUGAUGAGAUUAACCUAGAACUCUCAUAUUUAGUUUCUUUGGUGCUACUGAAAAUAGUUUGACCGUUGUCCAUUUUUAACUGGACUGGGGGAAAUAACAAUGUCAUUGUAUUUUACAUAAUGAAAUAAAGGAUCUGGCAACACAGCGCAGCUGUUAUAAAGAAGACACAAAUGCCACCUUAAUAUGAUUUCUUAAAUAUAUAAUAAGCUGGGUUUUAGUCUGGGUCUGUAUGCUCACUAAUAUCAAGUAAAAAAAAUGAAUUAUCUUCUGCAUGAAGACAGGGAAGGUAGACAGGGAGGCAAUGGUCUUUUAUGCUAAAAGCUCUUAAAAGUCAGGAAGGUAUUCAAUAUUUAAAAAUUAAAUGAUGAAAAACCUGUUCUGAAGUCCCAACAGUUUUUAGAUAUGGGUUCCUUUUGUAAAGGAAAUAAUCUGCUGUCUGCUCUUUGGUAUAACACAAUAAAUAUGAUAAUUACUUCAUAUAACAGCUUAAAUUAAAUUGCUUUUGAAUGA